rnacentral:misc_RNA from 1 species
GAUGAAGAACGCAGCGAAAUGCGAUAAGUAAUGUGAAUUGCAGAAUUCAGUGAAUCAUCGAAUCUUUGAACGCGCAUUGCGCCCGCCAGUAUUCUGGCGGGCAUGCCUGUUCGAGCGUCAUUUCAACCCUCAGGCCCCGCCUGGCGUUGGGGAUCGGCGCGGCCCUCUCCGGGCUGCCGGCCCCGAAAACUAGUGGCGGUCUCGCUGUAGUCCUCCUCUGCGCAGUAGCAACGCUCGCACUGGAACUCGGCGCGGCCACGCCGUAAAACACCCCACUUCUGAAAGUUGACCUCGGAUCAGGUAGGAAUACCCGCUGAACUUAAGCAUAUCAAUAAGCGGAGGA